UUAAGCGACUAAGCGUACACGGUGGAUGCCCUGGCAGUCAGAGGCGAUGAAGGACGUGCUAAUCUGCGAUAAGCGUCGGUAAGGUGAUAUGAACCGUUAUAACCGGCGAUUUCCGAAUGGGGAAACCCAGUGUGUUUCGACACACUAUCAUUAACUGAAUCCAUAGGUUAAUGAGGCGAACCGGGGGAACUGAAACAUCUAAGUACCCCGAGGAAAAGAAAUCAACCGAGAUUCCCCCAGUAGCGGCGAGCGAACGGGGAGCAGCCCAGAGCCUGAAUCAGUGUGUGUGUUAGUGGAAGCGUCUGGAAAGGCGCGCGAUACAGGGUGACAGCCCCGUACACAAAAAUGCACAUGCUGUGAGCUCGAUGAGUAGGGCGGGACACGUGGUAUCCUGUCUGAAUAUGGGGGGACCAUCCUCCAAGGCUAAAUACUCCUGACUGACCGAUAGUGAACCAGUACCGUGAGGGAAAGGCGAAAAGAACCCCGGCGAGGGGAGUGAAAAAGAACCUGAAACCGUGUACGUACAAGCAGUGGGAGCACGCUUAGGCGUGUGACUGCGUACCUUUUGUAUAAUGGGUCAGCGACUUAUAUUCUGUAGCAAGGUUAACCGAAUAGGGGAGCCGAAGGGAAACCGAGUCUUAACUGGGCGUUAAGUUGCAGGGUAUAGACCCGAAACCCGGUGAUCUAGCCAUGGGCAGGUUGAAGGUUGGGUAACACUAACUGGAGGACCGAACCGACUAAUGUUGAAAAAUUAGCGGAUGACUUGUGGCUGGGGGUGAAAGGCCAAUCAAACCGGGAGAUAGCUGGUUCUCCCCGAAAGCUAUUUAGGUAGCGCCUCGUGAAUUCAUCUCCGGGGGUAGAGCACUGUUUCGGCAAGGGGGUCAUCCCGACUUACCAACCCGAUGCAAACUGCGAAUACCGGAGAAUGUUAUCACGGGAGACACACGGCGGGUGCUAACGUCCGUCGUGAAGAGGGAAACAACCCAGACCGCCAGCUAAGGUCCCAAAGUCAUGGUUAAGUGGGAAACGAUGUGGGAAGGCCCAGACAGCCAGGAUGUUGGCUUAGAAGCAGCCAUCAUUUAAAGAAAGCGUAAUAGCUCACUGGUCGAGUCGGCCUGCGCGGAAGAUGUAACGGGGCUAAACCAUGCACCGAAGCUGCGGCAGCGACGCUGAUGCGUUGUUGGGUAGGGGAGCGUUCUGUAAGCCUGCGAAGGUGUGCUGUGAGGCAUGCUGGAGGUAUCAGAAGUGCGAAUGCUGACAUAAGUAACGAUAAAGCGGGUGAAAAGCCCGCUCGCCGGAAGACCAAGGGUUCCUGUCCAACGUUAAUCGGGGCAGGGUGAGUCGACCCCUAAGGCGAGGCCGAAAGGCGUAGUCGAUGGGAAACAGGUUAAUAUUCCUGUACUUGGUGUUACUGCGAAGGGGGGACGGAGAAGGCUAUGUUGGCCGGGCGACGGUUGUCCCGGUUUAAGCGUGUAGGCUGGUUUUCCAGGCAAAUCCGGAAAAUCAAGGCUGAGGCGUGAUGACGAGGCACUACGGUGCUGAAGCAACAAAUGCCCUGCUUCCAGGAAAAGCCUCUAAGCAUCAGGUAACAUCAAAUCGUACCCCAAACCGACACAGGUGGUCAGGUAGAGAAUACCAAGGCGCUUGAGAGAACUCGGGUGAAGGAACUAGGCAAAAUGGUGCCGUAACUUCGGGAGAAGGCACGCUGAUAUGUAGGUGAAGUCCCUUGCGGAUGGAGCUGAAAUCAGUCGAAGAUACCAGCUGGCUGCAACUGUUUAUUAAAAACACAGCACUGUGCAAACACGAAAGUGGACGUAUACGGUGUGACGCCUGCCCGGUGCCGGAAGGUUAAUUGAUGGGGUUAGCGCAAGCGAAGCUCUUGAUCGAAGCCCCGGUAAACGGCGGCCGUAACUAUAACGGUCCUAAGGUAGCGAAAUUCCUUGUCGGGUAAGUUCCGACCUGCACGAAUGGCGUAAUGAUGGCCAGGCUGUCUCCACCCGAGACUCAGUGAAAUUGAACUCGCUGUGAAGAUGCAGUGUACCCGCGGCAAGACGGAAAGACCCCGUGAACCUUUACUAUAGCUUGACACUGAACAUUGAGCCUUGAUGUGUAGGAUAGGUGGGAGGCUUAGAAGUGUGGACGCCAGUCUGCAUGGAGCCGACCUUGAAAUACCACCCUUUAAUGUUUGAUGUUCUAACGUUGACCCGUAAUCCGGGUUGCGGACAGUGUCUGGUGGGUAGUUUGACUGGGGCGGUCUCCUCCUAAAGAGUAACGGAGGAGCACGAAGGUUGGCUAAUCCUGGUCGGACAUCAGGAGGUUAGUGCAAUGGCAUAAGCCAGCUUGACUGCGAGCGUGACGGCGCGAGCAGGUGCGAAAGCAGGUCAUAGUGAUCCGGUGGUUCUGAAUGGAAGGGCCAUCGCUCAACGGAUAAAAGGUACUCCGGGGAUAACAGGCUGAUACCGCCCAAGAGUUCAUAUCGACGGCGGUGUUUGGCACCUCGAUGUCGGCUCAUCACAUCCUGGGGCUGAAGUAGGUCCCAAGGGUAUGGCUGUUCGCCAUUUAAAGUGGUACGCGAGCUGGGUUUAGAACGUCGUGAGACAGUUCGGUCCCUAUCUGCCGUGGGCGCUGGAGAACUGAGGGGGGCUGCUCCUAGUACGAGAGGACCGGAGUGGACGCAUCACUGGUGUUCGGGUUGUCAUGCCAAUGGCACUGCCCGGUAGCUAAAUGCGGAAGAGAUAAGUGCUGAAAGCAUCUAAGCACGAAACUUGCCCCGAGAUGAGUUCUCCCUGACUCCUUGAGAGUCCUGAAGGAACGUUGAAGACGACGACGUUGAUAGGCCGGGUGUGUAAGCGCAGCGAUGCGUUGAGCUAACCGGUACUAAUGAACCGUGAGGCUUAACCUU
rnacentral:rRNA from 1 species